rnacentral:rRNA from 1 species
GAUGAACGCUGGCGGCGUGCCUAAUACAUGCAAGUCGAGCGAACGGACGAGAAUCUUGCCUCUCUGAUGUUAGCGGCGGACGGGUGAGUAAAACGUGGAUAACCUACCUAUAAGACUGGGAUAACCUCGGGAAACCGUAGCAAAUACUGGAUAAUAUUUUGAACCGCAUGGUUCAAUAGUGAAAGACGGUCUUGCUGUCACCUAUAGAUGGAUCCGCGCUGCAUUAGCUAGUUGGUAAGGUAACGGCUUACCAAGGCAACGAUGCAUAGCCGACCUGAGAGGGUGAUCGGCCACACUGGAACUGAGACACGGUCCAGACUCCUACGGGAGGCAGCAGUAGGGAAUCUUCCGCAAAGGGCGAAAGCCUGACGGAGCAACGCCGCGUGAGUGAUGAAGGUCUUCGGAUCGUAAAACUCUGUUAUUAGGGAAGAACAUAUGUGUAAGUAACUGUGCACAUCUUGACGGUACCUAAUCAGAAAGCCACGGCUAACUACGUG